rnacentral:rRNA from 1 species
CCGGCACGGGUGGAGUAACACGUAUCCAACCUGCCGUCUACUCUUGGACAGCCUUCUGAAAGGAAAGAAUUAAUACAAGAUGGCAUCAUGAGUUCACAUGUUCACAUGAUUAAAGGUAUUCCGGUAGACGAUGGGGAUGCGUUCCAUUAGAUAGUAGGCGGGGUAACGGCCCACCUAGUCUUCGAUGGAUAGGGGUUCUGAGAGGAAGGUCCCCCACAUUGGAACUGAGACACGGUCCAA